UACGGAGAUGCAAGCGUUAUCCGGAAUGAUUGGGCGUAAAGCGUCCGCAGGUGGCUAUGUAAGUCUGCUGUUAAAGAGCAAGGCUCAACCUUGUAAAGGCAGUGGAAACUACAUGGCUAGAGUGCGUUCGGGGCAGAGGGAAUUCCUGGUGUAGCGGUGAAAUGCGGUAAGAGAUCAGGAAGAACACCGGUGGCGAAAGCGCUCUGCUAGGCCGCAACUGACACUGGAGGGACGAAAGGCUAGGGGAGCGAAUGGG
rnacentral:rRNA from 1 species